AGAGAAUAAAAAACCUUAGGAGCAAAUUGACCAUCAUACAGAAACUGUUAAGCAAGUGCCAUCAAGGCCAGCAGUACCCAUAUUAUAUGUCCAGAGAAGAGCCAGGCCAGAUGGGAACUGCGUGAAAGCAACCAGUUAUCUUGCUAAUUAUGCCAGCUAGAACCAGUUGUAUUGCAUUAAAAAAUGUGGAAUCCAACAACUUAGCUGUUCACACUCAAUUAGCAGUGUGCUGGAGAAUGGAAAACUCAAGCAAGGAGUCCAUGUGCUCCAGGAAGUGACAGCUGCUUCCUUACCCAGCAUUUAAUAUCCAUGUAAAAUUUUUUCAAUAAACGUUGUGAUAAUUU